AUACAGCUGACCAGUGCCAAAUAGGACGAAACGCGCAUCCUGGAU
rfam:Schistosoma curassoni strain Dakar, Senegal genome assembly, scaffold: SCTD_scaffold0001511